rnacentral:rRNA from 1 species
AACGAACGCUGGCGGCAUGCCUAACACAUGCAAGUCGAACGAGACCUUCGGGUCUAGUGGCGCACGGGUGCGUAACGCGUGGGAACCUGCCCUUAGGUUCGGAAUAACUCCCCGAAAGGGGUGCUAAUACCGGAUAAUGUCUUCGGACCAAAGAUUUAUCGCCUUUGGAUGGGCCCGCGUUGGAUUAGCUAGUUGGUAGGGUAAAAGCCUACCAAGGCGACGAUCCAUAGCUGGUCUGAGAGAAUGAUCAGCCACACUGGGACUGAGACACGGCUCAGACUCCUACGGGAGGCAGCAGUGGGGAAUAUUGGACAAUGGGCGAAAGCCUGAUCCAGCAAUGCCGCGUGAGUGAUGAAGGCCUUAGGGUUGUAAAGCUCUUUUACCCGGGAUGAUAAUGACAGUACCGGGAGAAUAAGCUCCGGCUAACUCCGUG